rnacentral:tRNA from 3 species
UGGGAUAUAGCCAAGCGGUAAGGCGAAGGUUUCUGGUUCCUUUACGCGUAGGUUCGAAUCCUACUAUCCCAG